UUGGAGGGCAAGUCUGGUGCCAGCAGCCGCGGUAAUUCCAGCUCCAAUAGCGUAUAUUAAAGUUGCUGCAGUUAAAAAGCUCGUAGUUGAAUUUCGGGAUCAAAUAAUCGGUCGUGCCUCCGGUACGUACUGGUUUUAUUGGUUCCUCCCUUCUGACGAACCAUGAUGUCAUUAAUUUGAUGUGGUGGAGAAUCAGGACUGUUACCUUGAAAAAAUUAGAGUGUUUAAAGCAGGCUAACGCUUGAAUACAUUAGCAUGGAAUAAUGAAAUAGGACGUUCGACCCUAUUUUGUUGGUUUCUAGGAUCGACGUAAUGAUUAAUAGGGAUAGUUGGGGGCAUUAGUAUUCAAUUGUCAGAGGUGAAAUUCUUGGAUUUAUUGAAGACUAACUACUGCGAAAGCAUUUGCCAAGGAUGUUCUCAUUAAUCAAGAACGAAAGUUAGGGGAUCGAAGACGAUCAGAUACCGUCGUAGUCUUAACCAUAAACUAUGCCGACUAGGGAUCGGAUGAUGUUAAUUUUUUAAUGACUCAUUCGGCGCCUUACGGGAAAC
rnacentral:rRNA from 1 species